rnacentral:tRNA from 2 species
GCGGGGGUCGCCCAGCUUGGUCAAAGGCGUGAGGCUCAGAACCUCAUUCCUUAGGGAUUCGUGGGUUCAAAUCCCACCCCCCGCACCA